GCGGCUACCAUGUCGUCGACGGUACAGGAAGCAGCUUGCUGCUUCGCUGACGAGUGGCGGACGGGUGAGUAAUGUCUGGGAAACUGCCUGAUGGAGGGGGAUAACUACUGGAAACGGUAGCUAAUACCGCAUAACGUCGCAAGACCAAAGAGGGGGACCUUCGGGCCUCUUGCCAUCGGAUGUGCCCAGAUGGGAUUAGCUAGUAGGUGGGGUAACGGCUCACCUAGGCGACGAUCCCUAGCUGGUCUGAGAGGAUGACCAGCCACACUGGAACUGAGACACGGUCCAGACUCCUACGGGAGGCAGCAGUGGGGAAUAUUGCACAAUGGGCGCAAGCCUGAUGCAGCCAUGCCGCGUGUAUGAAGAAGGCCUUCGGGUUGUAAAGUACUUUCAGCGGGGAGGAAGGGAGUAAAGUUAAUACCUUUGCUCAUUGACGUUACCCGCAGAAGAACACCGGCUAACUCCGUGCCAGCAGCCGCGGUAAUACGGAGGGUGCAAGCGUUAAUCGGAAUUACUGGGCGUAAAGCGCACGCAGCGGUUUGUUAAGUCAGAUGUGAAAUCCCCGGGCUCAACCUGGGAACUGCAUCUGAUACUGGCAAGCUUGAGUCUCGUAGAGGGGGGUAGAAUUCCAGGUGUAGCGGUGAAAUGCGUAAAGAUCUGGAGGAAUACCGUGGCGAAGCGCCCCUGGACGAA
rnacentral:rRNA from 1 species